rnacentral:rRNA from 1 species
AUGUUGGAGCAUAAGAAAGGAGGGGUUGCCAAGUUGAACGUGAAGGACAAGCUUCCAGACGGCGGCUGCUCGUCCACCAACCGCGCGCCUUGGUUGGAGCCUGCGGGAGGAGGGGUGGGAAGGAACAGGGAGGAAGCAGGAGCCGCCCAAGGUCCCGUUCAUACGGCGGCGCAGGCAGAAGACAUGACGGUGCGGCCACCGGAAGCACUAUUUUUCCUACCCUUGUCCUCCGAGAACGACGGGGACAAGGGAGGCGGCGGCGGCGGCGCUGUCCAGCAGUGGGGAAGGAGAACGGGGAAUGGGAAGAAAGAUUGA